CUGGAUAUCACUAGCGGAGGCUGCAGAACAGCAAAUAUUGCUGCCUGAUCCUUCCUCUGGAAGCUUUGUUCCAGAGGGGCACCUGCCUGUGUGAGGUGUCUGUUGGCCCCUACUGGGAGGUGUCUCCCAGUCAGGGUACACGGGGGUCAAGGACCGACUUGAGGAGGCAGUCUGUCCAUUUUCGGAGCUCAAAUGCCAUGCUGGGAGAACCACUGCUCUCUUCAGAACUGUCAGACAGGGGCGUUUAGGUCUGCCAAAGCUGUCUGCUGCCUUUUGUUCUGACAUGCCCUGCCCACAGAGGUGGAAUCUAGAGAGGCAGUAGGCCUUGCUGAGCUGCAGUGGGCUCCACCCAGUUCAAGCUUCCCGGCCUGUUUACACUGUGAGCAUAAAACUGCCUACUCAAGCCUCAGGAAUGGCGGACGCCCUCCCACCCCCCCAACAAGCUGCAGCAUGCCAGGCCAAUCUUAAGACUGCUGCACUGGCAGUAAGCAAGGAUCCAUGGGCAUGAGCCCCACCGAGCCAGGCACGGGAGGGAAUCUCCUGGUCUGUCAGUUGUGAAGACCAUGGGAAAAGCCCAGUAUUUGGGCAGGAGUGUACUGUUCCUCCAGGUACAGUCUGUCACGGCUUCCCUUGGCUAGGAAAGGGAAAUCCCCUGACCCCUUGCACUUCCCAGGUGAGGCGAUGCCCUGCCCUGCUUUGGCUCGCCCUCCAUGGGCUGCACCCACUGUCCAACUAGUCCCAAUGAGAUGAACCAGGUACCUCAGCUGGAAAUGCAGAAAUCACCCAUCUUCUGUGUUGGUCUUGCUGAGAGCUGCAGACCGGAGCUGUUCCUAUUCCAGCAAGAUGCUUUUAAAACCUUAGAGAUGAUGGAUCCCAGACACCAAGCUUCUGGCUGUGGCUUGGCCUUUCUAAGUAUUCAACAAGUCUGUCUUUUCCAAGUGUCUUUAAAGACCAGAAAUACCUGUUUUUAACACACAGGGUUGCAAAAUUCAGAGGAGAUUGGCGAGCAUCCCUCUUGUCUGCCCCACAUGUGUUUCUUUGCCAGAGGCCACCGUGGCGAGCAGGGGCCUGUGACUGCCCCAACCAAAAUUUUGGAAAGUCAUUCUGGCGCUACCAGAUGCCCCGAGGUUCCCAGGUUGGAGUCUUUCUCUCCCACUGGGUUUCUCCUGCAACUCUUCCCAGCCCACUGGCCCCACUGCCAGAGCACACAGGAGUCCGGACACACACCGCGGGACAGCCUGACUCGCUACUGCUCUCUGCACGUGCUAUAUGAGAGGGUUCUUUUGAGAACAGAAAAUGCAGUGACUGAGCAGGAAAGGGUGAAGGAGGAAAACCAGAGGUCGCAUGCAGCCAACCAGGCAUUACAAAAAUGCCUUCUGGAAAAGUGCACUUGGAGUUGGUUUCCAGAGAAAAUGAAAAGUCCCUCCAGAGAAAUGUAAAGGCCAGAGAAACGAAGACUCAGAGAAUGAAAAGGCCAACCCUGCUCAUCCAGUAGCCCAGGGCUAGCCCAGACAGACCCAUUCUCUUGUUGGGCUUAUGACUCUGGGCAGCAGUAACCUCUACGCAC
rnacentral:lncRNA from 10 species